rnacentral:piRNA from 1 species
UAGUGUAAAUCAGUGUAACUAUGGUAUCUA